rnacentral:rRNA from 1 species
CCUACGGGAGGCAGCAGUAGGGAAUAUUGCUCAAUGGGGGAAACCCUGAAGCAGCAACGCCGCGUGGAGGAUGAAGGUUUUCGGAUUGUAAACUCCUUUUGUUAGAGAAGAUAAUGACGGUAUCUAACGAAUAAGCACCGGCUUACUACGUGCCAGCAGCCGCGGUAAUACGGAGGGUGCAAGCGUUACUCGGAAUCACUGGGCGUAAAGAGGGCGUAGGCGGGAUAGCAAGUCAGAUGUGAAAUCCUAUGGCUUAACCAUAGAACUGCAUUUGAAACUGUUAUUCUAGAGUAUGGGAGAGGUAGGUGGAAUUCUUGGUGUAGGGGUAAAAUCCGUAGAGAUCAAGAGGAAUACUCAUUGCGAAGGCGACCUGCUAGAACAUAACUGACGCUGAUGCGCGAAAGCGUGGGGAGCAAACAGGAUUAGAUACCCGAGUAGUC